rnacentral:rRNA from 1 species
UUGACAUAUACAGGAAUGUUGUAGAGAUACAGCAGCCGCUUGCGGUCUGUAUACAGGUGCUGCAUGGCUGUCGUCAGCUCGUGCUGUGAAGUGUGGGUUAAGUCCCGCAACGAGCGCAACCCUAUCAUCUGUUGCCAGCAUUUAAGGUGGGGACUCAGAUGAGACUGCCGGUGGACAAACCGGAGGAAGGUGGGGACGACGUCAAGUCAUCAUGGCCCUUAUGUCCUGGGCUACACACGUGCUACAAUGGCCGGUACAGAGUGAAGCGAAACCGCGAGGUGAAGCAAAACGCAGAAAGCCGGUCUCAGUACGGAUUGGAGUCUGAAACUCGACUUCAUGAAGUUGGAAUCGCUAGUAAUCGCGCAUCAGCAUGGCGCGGUGAAUACGUUCCCGGGCCUU